GGGUUGUGAGGUUAAGCGACUAAGCGUACACGGUGGAUGCCCUGGCAGUCAGAGGCGAUGAAGGGCGUGCUAAUCUGCGAUAAGCGCCGGUAAGGUGAUAUGAACCGUUAUAACCGGCGAUACCCGAAUGGGGAAACCCAGUGUGAUUCGUCACACUAUCAUUAACUGAAUCCAUAGGUUAAUGAGGCGAACCGGGGGAACUGAAACAUCUAAGUACCCCGAGGAAAAGAAAUCAACCGAGAUUCCCCCAGUAGCGGCGAGCGAACGGGGAGGAGCCCAGAGCCUGAAUCAGCAUGUGUGUUAGUGGAAGCGUCUGGAAAGGCGCGCGAUACAGGGUGACAGCCCCGUACACAAAAGCGCAUGUGCUGUGAGCUCGAUGAGUAGGGCGGGACACGUGGUAUCCUGUCUGAAUAUGGGGGGACCAUCCUCCAAGGCUAAAUACUCCUGACUGACCGAUAGUGAACCAGUACCGUGAGGGAAAGGCGAAAAGAACCCCGGCGAGGGGAGUGAAAAAGAACCUGAAACCGUGUACGUACAAGCAGUGGGAGCCCCACCACUAAGCCAGUGGUGAACUCCACAUACGCAUCCUUUGCUGAGGAUACGGUUAACGGAGCGAAAGCGACGUUCAACCUCAAAAGAAGCAGAGGGGGCUUAGUGGUGGGGUGACUGCGUACCUUUUGUAUAAUGGGUCAGCGACUUAUAUUCUGUAGCAAGGUUAACCGAAUAGGGGAGCCGGAGGGAAACCGAGUCUUAAUUGGGCGUUAAGUUGCAGGGUAUAGACCCGAAACCCGGUGAUCUAGCCAUGGGCAGGUUGAAGGUUGGGUAACACUAACUGGAGGACCGAACCGACUAAUGUUGAAAAAUUAGCGGAUGACCUGUGGCUGGGGGUGAAAGGCCAAUCAAACCGGGAGAUAGCUGGUUCUCCCCGAAAGCUAUUUAGGUAGCGCCUCGUGAAUUCAUCUCCGGGGGUAGAGCACUGUUUCGGCUAGGGGGCCAUCCCGGCUUACCAACCCGAUGCAAACUGCGAAUACCGGAGAAUGUUAUCACGGGAGACACACGGCGGGUGCUAACGUCCGUCGUGAAGAGGGAAACAACCCAGACCGCCAGCUAAGGUCCCAAAGUCAUGGUUAAGUGGGAAACGAUGUGGGAAGGCCCAGACAGCCAGGAUGUUGGCUUAGAAGCAGCCAUCAUUUAAAGAAAGCGUAAUAGCUCACUGGUCGAGUCGGCCUGCGCGGAAGAUGUAACGGGGCUAAACCAUGCACCGAAGCUGCGGCAGCGACACUCAGGUGUUGUUGGGUAGGGGAGCGUUCUGUAAGCCUGUGAAGGUGGCCUGUGAGGGUUGCUGGAGGUAUCAGAAGUGCGAAUGCUGACAUAAGUAACGAUAAAGCGGGUGAAAAGCCCGCUCGCCGGAAGACCAAGGGUUCCUGUCCAACGUUAAUCGGGGCAGGGUGAGUCGACCCCUAAGGCGAGGCCGAAAGGCGUAGUCGAUGGGAAACGGGUUAAUAUUCCCGUACUUGGUGUUACUGCGAAGGGGGGACGGAGAAGGCUAUGUUGGCCGGGCGACGGUUGUCCCGGUUUAAGCGUGUAGGUGUGUGUUCCAGGUAAAUCCGGUUCACUUUAACACUGAGGCGUGAUGACGAGGCACUACGGUGCUGAAGCAACAAAUGCCCUGCUUCCAGGAAAAGCCUCUAAGCAUCAGGUAACAUCAAAUCGUACCCCAAACCGACACAGGUGGUCAGGUAGAGAAUACCAAGGCGCUUGAGAGAACUCGGGUGAAGGAACUAGGCAAAAUGGUGCCGUAACUUCGGGAGAAGGCACGCUGACACGUAGGUGAAGUGAUUUACUCAUGGAGCUGAAGUCAGUCGAAGAUACCAGCUGGCUGCAACUGUUUAUUAAAAACACAGCACUGUGCAAACACGAAAGUGGACGUAUACGGUGUGACGCCUGCCCGGUGCCGGAAGGUUAAUUGAUGGGGUCAGCGCAAGCGAAGCUCCUGAUCGAAGCCCCGGUAAACGGCGGCCGUAACUAUAACGGUCCUAAGGUAGCGAAAUUCCUUGUCGGGUAAGUUCCGACCUGCACGAAUGGCGUAAUGAUGGCCAGGCUGUCUCCACCCGAGACUCAGUGAAAUUGAACUCGCUGUGAAGAUGCAGUGUACCCGCGGCAAGACGGAAAGACCCCGUGAACCUUUACUAUAGCUUGACACUGAACAUUGAGCCUUGAUGUGUAG
rnacentral:rRNA from 1 species